rnacentral:lncRNA from 1 species
ACUUAUCGAAAAAAACUGUUAACACUUCAUUGAAUUGCACCGACCGUCCCUAACGUAAGUGGUAAAGGGUUUAGUGAUUGGUACCCGAAAUCUCAAGUUCGAAGUCUAGUUGACUCAUACUUAUAGUUAAUUUUAUUUGUUAAAAGAAAAUAAACGAAACGGAUAGCAUGUGUUGGGAGCCAAAUUCCUUGAUUCUCGAUUCGUUCAAAGAUCUUCCUCGGGGAACGUGUAGGGAUGCCGACCCUCGAAGUUUGCGCCCUUCGACUAGAUUAAGCGAUUCGGCUGAUGAGGGAUCGGAUCAGCCGGGUUCGAAAAUCUCUACUGUAAAAUCGGUUCAGCUGAAUGAGCCGAAUAUACGGAUUGUACAAAAUCUUUGGGUCUGCUGAAGAGCCGAAUAGGUGGAAUACAUACUGACUGGUCGGCUG